UACUCCCAGCUGCCCACAGUCAUCCUUCUCCAUCCCACUGACCUUCCACCCGUGACCAAUCAGGAGAUGUUUCCAGUUUAUUGGUGAAUUUAUUAGGGCUCAGAGAGGAUGACCUAUCCAAGGUCCCACUGCCAACUGAAUGUAGGACAAGUCUCUGAACCCAGUGUGCCCCUGCCAGAAAGUAGCAGGGAUCACAGAAGUCCAGCAGAGGUCUGCCGCCUUGGACCCCGCCUCUUACACAUUGAGUGUGGUUUCUGCAGUGAUGGGCUUCUCUCUUCCCUGGAGACGUAAAACCAGAAGGAUUCAGAAGGAUCUGCCAAAGGAAAUCUGGACCCCAUAAACGAUCAGUACUGCCAUCUGCAACAUGAGGGAGGCCUCAGAAACAGGAACCACACGGCAAGUCACCAAACCUCUAACCCAAUCUUGGAACCUAC
rnacentral:lncRNA from 1 species